GGCCUUCGGGUUGUAAACUGCUUUUGUACGGAACGAAAAGGCCCUGGUGAACAACCGGGGUUGCUUGACGGUACCGUAAGAAUAAGCACCGGCUAACUACGUGCCAGCAGCCGCGGUAAUACGUAGGGUGCGAGCGUUAAUCGGAAUUACUGGGCGUAAAGCGUGCGCAGGCGGACAUGCAAGACAGAUGUGAAAUCCCCGGGCUCAACCUGGGAACUGCAUAUGUGACUGUAUGACUGGAGUACCGGCAGAGGGGGAUGGAAUUCCGCGUGUAGCAGUGAAAUGCGUAGAUAUGCGGAGGAACACCGAUGGCGAAGGCAAUCCCCUGGGCCAGUACUGACGCUCAUGCACGAAAGCGUGGGGAGCAAACAGGAUUAGAUACCCUGGUAGUCC
rnacentral:rRNA from 1 species